rnacentral:rRNA from 1 species
UACGUAGGGGGCAAGCGUUGUCCGGAAUCAUUGGGCGUAAAGAGCGUGUAGGCGGUCCGGUAAGUCGGCUGUGAAAGUCCAGGGCUCAACCCUGGGAUGCCGGUCGAUACUGCCGGACUAGAGUUCGGAAGAGGCGAGUGGAAUUCCCGGUGUAGCGGUGAAAUGCGCAGAUAUCCGGAGGAACACCGGUGGCGAAGGCGGCUUCCUGGACCGACACUGACGCUGAGGCGCGAAAGCUAGGGGAGCAAACGGG